rnacentral:lncRNA from 1 species
CGGGGCCUCACACGACAGCUUGGUCCACUAAUCGCAAAAGCAAUUUAUUUUAUUUUCUUAAACAAACAAAGAAAAAUAUAUAGAAAUUUGGUAAAUAUAUAACAUACAAAUAUGAAUUGAUUAAAAAUUAAGUUUGUUUUAUUCUUAAUAACUUCGCUGGCACAUGGCAUUAAAUUUCACGCGGGAAGUGGCCUAUUUGAGGCCUACUCGAUUAUUUAGUUAGCAUUUAGGCACAAAGACACAAAUGUAUAUCAUAGUCGGAUAAAUGUUGAAGUAAGAAGAUGAAGUUACCAAAAAAUAACGCUUUCUUCAGUUUCACUGUGGAAAGACCGCGAAGGUGUUUUUAAGGUCCCGCGUCACGGAGUGUGUCGGCACAGCGGUUAGACCGGACAACUGCUUUUUAAAAGCACUGAUAAGAGGCACCCUGAUGCUGAACAUUGCAAAUUGGAAGUGAAGAUUGCCUUCCUGUAGACUUUAUCUUAAAGCAGUAAAACAAGAAGCUGUGACUACAACUGCAGUGAAGUAUACACUGCGUGGUUUCUGUGGAUGGCCUGAGUGUCUUCAGCUGCGGCAGAAUCCUCUGAGGAACUGGCCUGACUCAUCUGCGUCUGUGACAGGUCAUGUCCAUGAGCAGGAGUGGAUAACCCAAAGCGCCCAAACCGGCUCACUAACACUCAAAUCCAUGUUUAAAGAUGCUGUCAGGAAAGGAAACGCAUGGAAAAGUUGCUACCAGGAUAGAUUAUCAGAUCUGACUCCAUUGCGUUUAUAGAGUGAGAAAAACAGAAGAGAAUGAGGUUUGCAUGGCCAAAAGGACGAGUCGGUAUCCAAUACUG